GCUUGUCUCAAAGAUUAAGCCAUGCAUGUCUAAGUAUAAGCAACUAUACGGUGAAACUGCGAAUGGCUCAUUAAAUCAGUUAUCGUUUAUUUGAUAGUACCUCACUACAUGGAUAACCGUGGUAAUUCUAGAGCUAAUACAUGCUAAAAACCCCGACUCACGAAGGGGUGUAUUUAUUAGAUAAAAAACCAAUGCCCUUCGGGGCUCCUUGGUGAAUCAUGAUAACUUAACGAAUCGCAUGGCCUUGCGCCGGCGAUGGUUCAUUCAAAUUUCUGCCCUAUCAACUUUCGAUGGUAGGAUAGUGGCCUACCAUGGUCUCAACGGGUAACGGGGAAUUAGGGUUCGACUCCGGAGAGGGAGCCUGAGAAACGGCUACCACAUCCAAGGAAGGCAGCAGG
rnacentral:rRNA from 1 species